rnacentral:pre_miRNA from 1 species
CGGGGGAGGCCGGAUCCUGGGCUGUGUCCCGGCGCCCUGUGCUCCGGAGCCUGCGCUGUUGGAUUUGCGCUCCCGCCCCGCAGCCCCCU